rnacentral:rRNA from 1 species
CCUACGGGGUGCAGCAGUGGGGAAUAUUGGACAAUGGGCGAAAGCCUGAUCCAGCCAUGCCGCGUGUGUGAAGAAGGCCUUCGGGUUGUAAAGCACUUUCAGUGGGGAAGAAAGCCUUGGGGCUAAUACCCUCGAGGAAGGACAUCACCCACAGAAGAAGCACCGGCUAACUCCGUGCCAGCAGCCGCGGUAAUACGGAGGGUGCGAGCGUUAAUCGGAAUUACUGGGCGUAAAGCGCGCGUAGGCGGUCUGAUAAGCCGGUUGUGAAAGCCCCGGGCUCAACCUGGGAACGGCAUCCGGAACUGUCAGGCUAGAGUGCAGGAGAGGAAGGUGGAAUUCCCGGUGUAGCGGUGAAAUGCGUAGAGAUCGGGAGGAAUACCAGUGGCGAAGGCGGCCUUCUGGACUGACACUGACGCUGAGGUGCGAAAGCGUGGGUAGCAAACAGGAUUAGAUACCCCGGUAGUC